CGGGGGGAGCAAGCGUUGUUCGGAUUUACUGGGCGUAAAGGGCGCGUAGGCGGCCACCGCAAGUCAGUUGUGAAAUCUCUGGGCUUAACCCAGAAAGGUCAACUGAUACUGCGGGGCUAGAGUGCAGAAGGGGCAACUGGAAUUCUCGGUGUAGCGGUGAAAUGCGUAGAUAUCGAGAGGAACACCUGCGGCGAAGGCGGGUUGCUGGGCUGACACUGACGCUGAGGCGCGAAAGCUAGGGGAGCGAACGGGAUUAGAUACCCCGGUAGUCCUAGCCUUAAACGAUGAACGCUUGGUGUCUGGGGUUUUAUAGUCCCCGGGUGCCGUCGCUAACGCUUUAAGCAUUCCGCCUGGGGAGUACGGUCGCAAGACUG
rnacentral:rRNA from 1 species